CAGCCGCCGCGGUAAUACGUAGGUGGCAAGCGUUGUCCGGAAUUAUUGGGCGUAAAGGGCUCGCAGGCGGUUUCUUAAGUCUGAUGUGAAAGCCCCCGGCUCAACCGGGGAGGGUCAUUGGAAACUGGGAAACUUGAGUGCAGAAGAGGAGAGUGGAAUUCCACGUGUAGCGGUGAAAUGCGUAGAGAUGUGGAGGAACACCGGUGGCGAAGGCGACUCUCUGGUCUGUAACUGACGCUGAGGAGCGAAAGCGUGGGGAGCGAACAGGAUUAGAUACCCCCGUAGUCCCUGUCUCUUAUAC
rnacentral:rRNA from 1 species